UAUUGAAAUUAAUGGGAUGGUGAUAACUUUGAAUGAAACUGUAUCGCCUUAUGUGCUUAUUUUGUUUACUCAACUGAAGAAUUAUACUAAAACUAGCUCAAUGGGGUUGGCUUUACGGAAGUAAGUGCGUAAGUGUGUGUGUGCGGAAGUGAGUGUGUGCAAGUGCAAGUAUCUAUGGAUCACGCGCAUAAGAUCCUACAAAAGUUUUGUGUCUCUGCCCAUCUGCAUAUUCUCAUUUCUCUUGUUUUAGUUGAUCUAGUCAAGAAUGACACAUGGUUCAUAA
rnacentral:misc_RNA from 1 species